rnacentral:rRNA from 1 species
AUGAACGCUAGCGACAGGCUUAACACAUGCAAGUCGAGGGGUAACAGGGUAGCAAUACCGCUGACGACCGGCGCACGGGUGAGUAACGCGUAUGCAACCUGCCUAUAACUGGGGAAUAGCUCCCUGAAAGGGGGAAUUAACACCGCAUAACACUAUUGAUUCGCAUGGAUUAGUAGUUAAAUGUAGCGAUACAGGUUAUAGAUGGGCAUGCGUGACAUUAGCUAGUUGGUGAGGUAACGGCUCACCAAGGCUACGAUGUCUAGGGGUUCUGAGAGGAAGGUCCCCCCACACUGGUACUGAGACACGGACCAGACUCCUACGGGAGGCAGCAGUGAGGAAUAUUGGUCAAUGGGCGCAAGCCUGAACCAGCCAUGUCGCGUGCAGGAAGAACCUGCCCUAUGGGUUGUAAACUGCUUUUAUAGUAGAAGAAACACAUCUACGCGUAGAUGUCUGCCAGUAUACUAUGAAUAAGCAUCGGCUAACUCCGUGCCAGCCGCCGC